rnacentral:rRNA from 1 species
UACGUAGGGGGCAAGCGUUGUCCGGAAUCAUUGGGCGUAAAGCGCGUGUAGGCGGUCCGGUAAGUCGGCUGUGAAAGUCCAGGGCUCAACCCUGGGAUGCCGGUCGAUACUGCCGGACUAGAGUUCGGAAGAGGCGAGUGGAAUUCCUGGUGUAGCGGUGGAAUGCGCAGAUAUCAGGAGGAACACCAACGGCGAAGGCAGCUCGCUGGGACGGUACUGACGCUAAGGCGCGAAAGCGUGGGGAGCGAACAGG